rnacentral:misc_RNA from 1 species
AACGGGGGGACCGAGCGUUUAUUCGUCUUGACUGGGCGUAAAGGGCAAGUAGGCGGUCGAUCUUUUCUAUAGUGGAAAAAACAAACAGCAUGUCUGUUUGAAACUUUAUAGGGGAUAAGACUAGAGUGUGAUAGAGGAUGACAGUACUCUCAGUGAAGGGGUAAAAUCCUUAGAUACUGCAGGGGACUCUCGGAGGCGAAAGCGGUCAUCUGGGUCAUCACUGACGCUGAGGGGCGAAAGCGUGGGGAGCAAACGGG